rnacentral:rRNA from 1 species
GACGAACGCUGGCGGCGUGCUUAACACAUGCAAGUCGAACGCUGAAGCUUGGUGCUUGCACUGGGUGGAUGAGUGGCGAACGGGUGGGUAAUACGUGAGUAACCUGCCCUUGACUCUGGGAUAAGCCUGGGAAACUGGGUCUAAUACUGGAUACGACAUGUCACCGCAUGGUGGUGUGUGGAAAGGGUUUUACUGGUUUUGGAUGGGCUCACGGCCUAUCAGCUUGCUGGUGGGGUAAUGGCUCACCAAGGCGACGACGGGUAGCCGGCCUGAGAGGGUGACCGGCCACACUGGGACUGAGACACGGCCCAGACUCCUACGGGAGGCAGCAGUGGGGAAUAUUGCACAAUGGGCGGAAGCCUGAUGCAGCGACGCCGCGUGAGGGAUGACGGCCUUCGGGUUGUAAACCUCUUUCAGCACGGAAGAAGCGAAAGUGACGGUACGUGCAGAAGAAGCGCCGGCUAACUACGUG